rnacentral:rRNA from 1 species
UGAGGAAUAUUGGUCAAUGGGCGCAAGCCUGAACCAGCCAUCCCGCGUGCAGGAAGACGGCCCUAUGGGUUGUAAACUGCUUUUCCAGGGGGAGAAUUUUUCUGUCGUGACAGGAAUUGACGGUACCCUGGGAAUAAGCAUCGGCUAACUCCGUGCCAGCAGCCGCGGUAAUACGGAGGAUGCGAGCGUUAUCCGGAUUUAUUGGGUUUAAAGGGUGCGUAGGCGGAUUGAUAAGUCGGUGGUGAAAACCUGCAGCUUAACUGUAGACUUGCCGUUGAUACUGUCAGUCUUGAGUAUGGUCAAGGUAGGCGGAAUGUGUAAUGUAGCGGUGAAAUGCUUAGAUAUUACACAGAACACCGAUUGCGAAGGCAGCUUACUGGGCCAUUACUGACGCUGAUGCACGAAAGCGUGGGGA